rnacentral:rRNA from 1 species
UACAGAGGUCUCAAGCGUUGUUCGGAUUCAUUGGGCGUAAAGGGUGCGCAGGCGGCCGGGUGUGUCAGAUGUGAAAUCCCGAGGCUCAACCUCGGAACUGCGUCUGAAACUACUCGGCUAGAGUACUGGAGAGGGUAACGGAAUUCACGGUGUAGCAGUGAAAUGCGUAGAUAUCGUGAGGAACACCAGAGGCGAAGGCGGUUACCUGGACAGUUACUGACGCUCAGGCACGAAAGCAUGGGGAGCAAAAGGG